rnacentral:rRNA from 1 species
GAUGAACGCUAGCUCCAGGCUUAACACAUGCAAGUCGAGGGGAAACGACAUCGAAAGCUUGCUUUUGAUGGGCGUCGACCGGCGCACGGGUGAGUAACGCGUAUCCAACCUGCCCACCACUUGGGGAUAACCUUGCGAAAGUAAGACUAAUACCCAAUGACGUCUCUAGAAGACAUCUGAAAGAGAUUAAAGAUUUAUCGGUGAUGGAUGGGGAUGCGUCUGAUUAGCUUGUUGGCGGGGUAACGGCCCACCAAGGCGACGAUCAGUAGGGGUUCUGAGAGGAAGGUCCCCCACAUUGGAACUGAGACACGGUCCAAACUCCUACGGGAGGCAGCAGUGAGGAAUAUUGGUCAAUGGACGAGAGUCUGAACCAGCCAAGUAGCGUGCAGGAUGACGGCCCUAUGGGUUGUAAACUGCUUUUAUAAGGGAAUAAAGUGAGUCUCGUGAGACUUUUUGCAUGCACCUUAUGAAUAAGGACCGGCUAAUUCCGUG